GAUGAAGAACGUAGCGAAAUGCGAUACUUGGUGUGAAUUGCAGAAUCCCGUGAACCAUCGAGUCUUUGAACGCAAGUUGCGCCCGAAGCCAUUAGGCCGAGGGCACGCCUGCCUGGGCGUCACACGUCGUUGCCCCCCCAUCUACUCCUUCGGGAUUGCGGGGGGCGGAUGAUGGCCUCCCGCGCGCCUCGCCGCGCGGUUGGCAUAAAUGCCAAGUCCUCGGCGACGCACGCCACGACAAUCGGUGGUUGCGAAACCUCGGUUGCCCGUCGUGUGCGGUCGUCGCGCAUCGAGGGCUCGAAAAAAUUGCCGGGUUCCGGCUCGGCUUUCAACGCGACCCCAGGUCAGGCGGGGUUACCCGCUGAAUUUAAGCAUAUCAAUAAGCGGAGGA
rnacentral:misc_RNA from 1 species